UCGCCUGUUUAUCAAAAACAUUUCUGAAUGACCUUUCUUUUCAGUAAGGCCUGCUCAAUGGUAUUUUAAAUAGCCGCAAUUACGUGCUAAGGUAGCAUAAUCACUUGCCUUAUAAUUUAAGGCUAGAAUGAAAGGUUUAACAUGAUAACUUCUUUGUUAAUUUAAUUUCUUUAACUUUACUUAUAAGUAAAAAGGCUUAUAUUCAAAAGGGGGACGACAAGACCCUAACGAGCUUUACUUGCUUAGUUGAACUGGGGUGGUAAAAAACUAAAUCUUUUAUUUUAUUUUCUUCUUAACCUUAUUUUAAGAUUUUUAAGUUACCGUAGGGAUAACAGCAUAAUUUUUUUCUAGAGACCUUAUCUAAAAAAAAGAUUGUGACCUCGAUGUUGAAUUAAUU
rnacentral:rRNA from 1 species